AGCGGGAUAGAGUAAUCGGUUAACUCGUUAGGCUCAUGCCCUAAGCAUGCAGGUUCGAAUCCUGCUCCCGC
rnacentral:tRNA from 1 species